rnacentral:rRNA from 1 species
AUUGAACGCUGGCGGCAGGCUUAACACAUGCAAGUCGAGCGGGGGAAGGUAGCUUGCUACCGGACCUAGCGGCGGACGGGUGAGUAAUGCUUAGGAAUAUGCCUAGUAGUGGGGGACAACAUCUCGAAAGGGAUGCUAAUACCGCAUACGUCCUACGGGAGAAAGCAGGGGAUCUUCGGACCUCGCGCUAAUAGAUGAGCGUAAGUCGGAUUAGCUAGUUGGUGGGGUAAAGGCCUACCAAGGCGACGAUCUGUAGCGGGUCUGAGAGGAUGAUCCGCCACACUGGGACUGAGACACGGCCCAGACGCCUACGGGAGGCAGCAGUGGGGAAUAUUGGACAAUGGGGGGAACCCUGAUCCAGCCAUGCCGCGUGUGUGAAGAAGGCCUUAUGGUUGUAAAGCACUUUAAGCGAGGAGGAGGCUACUUUAGUUAAUACCUAGAGAUAGUGGACGUUACUCGCAGAAUAAGCACCGGCUAACUCUGUGCCAGCCGCCGCGGUAA